AUCUGGGUGGCUCAGUCGGUUAAGCGUCUGACUUCGGCUCAGGUCAUGAUCUCACAGUUCGUGGGUUCGAGCCCCACAUCGGGCU
rnacentral:tRNA from 1 species